UUCCGGUUGAUCCUGCCAGAGGUCACUGCUAUCAGUAUUCGAUUAAGCCAUGCGAGUCAAAUGUUUUUCGUAAACAUGGCGUACUGCUCAGUAACACGUGGAUAAUCUGCCCUAAGGUCUGGCAUAACUCCGGGAAACUGGUGAUAAUUCCAGAUAUGCCAUAGAAACUGGAAUGUUCUGUGGUCAAAAGCUCCGGCGCCUUAGGAUGAAUCUGCGGCCUAUCAGGUUGUAGUGGGUGUAGUGUACCUACUAGCCGACGACGGGUACGGGUUGUGAGAGCAAGAGCCCGGAGAUGGAUUCUGAGACAUGAAUCCAGGCCCUACGGGGCGCAGCAGGCGCGAAAACUUUACAAUGCGGGAAACCACGAUAAGGGGAUACUGAGUGCCAGCAUCUUAUGUUGGCUGUCCGCAUGUAUAAAUAGCAUGUGUUAGCAAGGGCCGGGCAAGACCGGUGCCAGCCGCCGCGGUAACACCGGCGGCCCGAGUGGUGGCCACUAUUAUUGGGUCUAAAGGGUCCGUAGCCGGUUCGAUCAGUCUUCCGGGAAAUCUGACAGCUCAACUGUUAGGCUUCCGGGGGAUACUGUCGGACUUGGGACCGGGAGAGGUAAGAGGUACUACAGGGGUAGGAGUGAAAUCUUGUAAUCCUUGUGGGACCACCAGUGGCGAAGGCGUCUUACCAGAACGGGUCCGACGGUGAGGGACGAAAGCUGGGGGCACGAACCGGAUUAGAUACCCGGGUAGUCCCAGCCGUAAACGAUGCUCGCUAGGUGUCUGGGACGGUGCGACCGUUUCAGGUGCCGCAGGGAAGCCGUGAAGCGAGCCACCUGGGAAGUACGGCCGCAAGGCUGAAACUUAAAGGAAUUGGCGGGGGAGCACUACAACGGGUGGAGCCUGCGGUUUAAUUGGAGUCAACGCCGGA
rnacentral:rRNA from 1 species